GAUGAACGCUAGCUACAGGCUUAACACAUGCAAGUCGAGGGGAAACGGCAUCGAAAGCUUGCUUUUGAUGGGCGUCGACCGGCGCACGGGUGAGUAAAGCGUAUCCAACCUGCCCAUCACUUGGGAAUAACCUUGCGAAAGUAAGACUAAUGCCCAAUGACAUCCCACGAAGGCAUCCGAAUGGGAUUAAAGAUUUAUCGGUGAUGGAUGGGGAUGCGUCUGAUUAGCUUGUUGGCGGGGUGACGGCCCACCAAGGCAACGAUCAGUAGGGGUUCUGAGAGGAAGGUCCCCCACAUUGGAACUGAGACACGGUCCAAACUCCUACGGGAGGCAGCAGUGAGGAAUAUUGGUCAAUGGGCGAGAGCCUGAACCAGCCAAGUAGCGUGCAGGAUGACGGCCCUAUGGGUUGUAAACUGCUUUUAUAAGGGAAUAAAGUGGGUCACGUGUGACUUUUUGCAUGUACCUUAUGAAUAAGGACCGGCUAAGUCCGUG
rnacentral:rRNA from 1 species